AAACUUCAAAGGCUAAAAUGCACAGUCUGAGUUCCUUAAACUCCUUACUACAUUCUCCUUCUCACAUGAAAUGGAUACAUCCUAGUUCUUUUUUGGGAUCAAUAAGGACAGGCUGGAAGGAUCCAAAACCAACCCCACUCACCAUUAUUAUUAUUAUUAUUAUCAGGGCAGAAACAAACACAACACUACCCUCUCCAAUAAAGUGUAUUUCUGUACACAAAACUCUUCAGUCUUAACCAAGGUAGUAGCUAGCAGCAGAAAAAUUAAAAUUAAAAAUUAAAAAAAUUAAAGAGACUUACAAAAAGCAAAAAAAAGGAGGAGGAUUGAAUUCUUUCUUGCCUUUUCUUUUUCCUUGCAGACUCUGCUAAGCAUCUUUGGUUCCUCACUUUUCCAUUCUUUUAUCUGCCUUCCCACUCCUUCUUCAUUCCUCUUCGAAUUUUCUCUUCUUUUUUUUCAACCAAAUUAUCUUGGUUUGAGCUUCUCUAUUUCUAGCAUGCAAUCUUAUUCCUUCUCCCACAAAUUGCUCUUCUUUAGGUN
rnacentral:lncRNA from 1 species